rnacentral:rRNA from 2 species
CCUACGGGAGGCAGCAGUGGGGAAUAUUGGACAAUGGGCGAAAGCCUGAUCCAGCCAUGCCGCGUGUGUGAAGAAGGUCUUCGGAUUGUAAAGCACUUUAAGUUGGGAGGAAGGGCAGUAACCUAAUACGUUAUUGUUUUGACGUUACCGACAGAAUAAGCACCGGCUAACUCUGUGCCAGCAGCCGCGGUAAU